rnacentral:rRNA from 1 species
CAGUCGCCACGGUAAUACAGAGGAUGCAAGCGUUAUCCGGAAUUAUUGGGCGUAAAGGGCUCGCAGGCGGUUUCUUAAGUCUGAUGUGAAAGCCCCCGGCUCAACCGGGGAGGGUCAUUGGAAACUGGGAGACUUGAGUGCAGAAGAGGAGAGUGGAAUUCCACGUGUAGCGGUGAAAUGCGUAGAGAUGUGGAGGAACACCAGUGGCGAAGGCGACUCUCUGGUCUGUAACUGACGCUGAGGAGCGAAAGCGUGGGGAGCGAACAGGAUUAGAUACCCCUGUAGUCCCUGUCUCUUAUAC